UGCAAACCACUGACGCAUACUGAU
rnacentral:siRNA from 1 species